rnacentral:sRNA from 1 species
UAUUCUACCCUACGGGGAAGGAUGAGAAGCUUCGACUAAGGUUCGACUCGAGCGCCAGCGAGAGAACGUUGCCAAGGGCAACGGCCCGAAGGGCGAGGAGCGAUAGCGACGAGUUAUCCUUCCCCCUCUAUUC